rnacentral:rRNA from 1 species
GAACUGAAGAGUUUGAUCCUGGCUCAGAUUGAACGCUGGCGGCAUGCCUAACACAUGCAAGUCGAACGGUAACGACGAAAAUGAACCCUUCGGGGCGAUUUUUCGGGCGACGAGUGGCGAACGGGUGAGUAAUACGUAGGAAUCUACCCAAUAGUGGGGAAUAACCCGGGGAAACUCGGGCUAAUACCGCAUAAGCCCUACGGGGGAAAGCGGGGGACCUUCGGGCCUCGCGCUAAUGGAUGAGCCUACGUCCGAUUAGCUUGUUGGCAGGGUAACGGCCUACCAAGGUUAUGAUCGGUAGCUGGUCUGAGAGGAUGGUCAGCCACACUGGGACUGAGACACGGCCCAGACUCCUACGGGAGGCAGCAGUGGNNNNNNNNNNAUUGGACAAUGGGCGCAAGCCUGAUCCAGCAAUGCCGCGUGUGUGAAGAAGGCCCGCGGGUCGUAAAGCACUUUCAGCAGGGAAGAAAAUCCCGGAGCGAAUACCUCCGGGCCUUGACGUUACUUGCAGAAGAAUCGCACCGGCUAACUCCGUGCCAGCAGCCGCGGUAAUACGGGGGGUGCAAGCGUUAAUCAGAAUUACUGGGCGUAAAGCGCGCGUAGGCGGCUUGGUAAGUCGGAUGUGAAAUCCCCAAGCUCAACUUGGGAACUGCAUUCGAUACUGCCAAACUAGAGUAUGGUAGAGGGAAGCGGAAUUCCCGGUGUAGCGGUGAAAUGCAUAGAUAUCGGGAGGAACACCAGUGGCGAAGGCGGCUUCCUGGAUCAAUACUGACGCUGAGGCGCGAGAGCGUGGGUAGCAAACAGGAUUAGAUACCCUGGUAGUCCACGCCCUAAACGAUGAAAACUAGCCGUUGGGGGAGCUUGAUCCUUUAGUGGCGCAGCUAACGCGAUAAGUUUUCCGCCUGGGGAGUACGGCCGCAAGGCUAAAACUCAAAGGAAUUGACGGGGGCCCG